ACAAAAAAAAUUUAAAGAAAUAUAAAAUAAUUAUUCAAAGAACCGAACUCUAUGCAUGUGAACUUUCCAUAUAACAAAGAAUGUUUAACAUUUUAAAAUUAGAUAAUGGUGUGUUUCUCUCUCUGUGUGUGUGUGUGUGUGUGUGUGUGUGUGUGUGUGUCUUGUAAAGUACUAUUUGGGAUAUAUGGGCAAACGUAUUUGUUGAUAAAACCACACUUCUAAUUUUUAAUUACAUUGAAAUACUUCUAAGUCUUAGCUCUAUAGCCGUGUCUUGUGUCUUGUUCUUAUUAACAUCAGUGGCACUGAAAUGCCAUGUGCAUACUCCAUUAAGAUCUAAUAUCAGUGUUGAACUUUAAUGAUGAAAUGAAUUUUGCACUUGUUUCUGUAAAUAAUUCAAAGGUUAAAAGCCAAUAGGAGUAAGUGGGUAAUAGAAAAUGAGUCCACCAUAAACAAAUAAGAAGUCACUACAAGGAAAAAUCAGUGUAUCCUGAUAGAAGGUAUUUCCAAACACCACAAAUAAACCAAGGCAAGAUAACUUCAGUGCCUUGCAUAUCAAGAACAGUUGUCUAGGCCUGAGCUUACGGGAGUUCAAAAUUUCACUGUAUUAUUCUUUUCACUCGGUAUCUUAUUUGAAGACUAAAUUUUCAAUAAACUAAAUGUUCUCUGAACUGAAAUUUAGUACAUUUCUCUUUUUUUCUUCUCUUUUUUUGAAGGACUCAUUAAUUAGGUAGGCAAAGGGUCUUGCAGGGUCUCUGAUUCUAUAUAAAAUCUCAUUUCUAAAAAAAUUAAUUUUCAUGUUAGAGUACAGUAAACUUGUUACUAAAAGAGAAGUAAGCUAACUAAAUUUUUUUUUACAUAAAAUAGCAAUGGUAAGAGUAAGUACUCAGUAUUCUCAAUAUGUAUAUUAGGUUUAGAUAGACAAAAGAGAGGAAGCAUUUUUAAAAAUGACAAGAUAUGUUAAAAUCAUAGUUAAAUGUACAUAUACAAUAUAUUGAUAGUGGUAUUAUAAAAAGCCUAUAUUUCAGAAUUUAAAACUUUUCCUACACACUGGCAACAACAUUCAAACAGGAAUUUGUAUAUAUGAUUUGUUUUUUACAUUACUAAUAUAAUCCUUAAGUAAACCACACUGGAAGUGAGUUCUUGGAGGAAAACAAAUUAUUAAAAAAAUUUCAAGGGGGGAAAAUACAUUAGACCUCAAAAAACAAAACAAGAAUGAAUUAUUAAAACUUAGUUAUUUUUUUUCAUUUUAUGGAAAAAUGUAAAACAAUUUUUAUGUUUC
rnacentral:lncRNA from 1 species